GGCUCAUUAUAACAGCUAUAAUUUACUUGAUCUUGACACUAUCCUACUUGGAUAACUGUGGUAAUUCUAGAGCUAAUACAUGCAUUAAAGCUCCGACCUCACGGGAAGAGUGCAUUUAUUAGAACAAAACCAAGCGGCUUCGGCUGUUUCUGGUUGACUCAUAGUAACUGAGCUGAUCGCAUGGGCUUGUACCGGCGACGUGUCUUUCAAGUAUCUGCCGUAUCAACUUUCGAUGGUAGUGUAUCUGACUACCAUGGUGAUCACGCGUAACGGAGAAUAAGGGUUCGGCUCCGGAGAGUUCGCCUGAGAAAUCGCGAACACAUCUAAGGAAGGCAGCAGGCGCGAAAAUUACCCACUCUCAGCACGAGGAGGUAGUGACGAAAAAUAACGAGACCGUUCUCUUUGAGGCCGGUCAUCGGAAUGGGUACAAUUUAAACCCUUUAACGAGUAUCUAUGAGAGGGCAAGUCUGGUGCCAGCAGCCGCGGUAAUUCCAGCUCUCAAAGUGCAUAGAAUUAUUGCUGCGGUUAAAAAGCUCGUAGUUGGAUCUGUGCCAUAGGACUGGGUCCACUUUCGGGUGCGUACUCCGCUCCUAGGCUUUUUGACGGUUUUCCCGUCCUAGCCUUUACUGGUUGCGGCGGGUGGCUGUCGAGUUUACUUUGAGAAAAUCAGAGUGCUCAAUACAGGCGUAUCGCUUGAAUGAUUGUGCAUGGAAUAAUAGAAAAGGAUUUCGGUCCUCUUUUAUUGGUUUUGUGGACUGAGAUAAUGGUUAACAGGGACAAACGGGGGCAUUCGUAUCGCUGCGUGAGAGGUGAAAUUCUUGGACCGUAGCGAGACGCCCUACUGC
rnacentral:rRNA from 1 species